rnacentral:rRNA from 1 species
GGAGUGGGGUAGGGGGUAAUUGGGAAUUCUGGGGGUAGCCGGUGGAAUGGGCCGAAUUUCCGGAGGAACCCCCGAUGGGGAAGGCGGGUACUGGGCCCCCACUGACGGUGAGGAGCGAAAGGUGGGUAGCGAACAGGAUUAGAUACCCUGGUAGUCCACGCCGUAAACGUUGGGCACUAGGUGUGGGGCCUUUCCAUGGGUUCUGCGCCGUAGCUAACGCAUUAAGUGCCCCGCCUGGGGAGUACGGCCGCAAGGCUAAAACUCAAAGGAAUUGACGGGGGCCCGCACAAGCGGCGGAGCAUGCGGAUUAAUUCGAUGCAACGUGAAGAACCUUACCAAGGCUUGACAUACACCGGAAUCAUGCAGAGAUGUGUGAGUCUUCGGACUGGUGUACAGGUGGUGCAUGGUUGUCGUCAGCUCGUGUCGUGAGAUGUUGGGUUAAGUCCCGCAACGAGCGCAACCCUUGUCUCGUGUUGCCAGCAUUUAGUUGGGGACUCACGAGAGACUGCCGGGGUUAACUCGGAGGGAGGUGGGGAUGACGUCAAAUCAUCAUGCCCCUUAUGUCUUGGGCUUCACGCAUGCUACAAUGGCAAGUACAGAGUGUUGCGAGCCUGUGAGGGUGAGCGAAUCACUUAAAGCUUGUCUCAGUUCGGAUUGGGGUCUGCAACUCGACCCCAUGAAGUCGGAGUCGCUAGUAAUCGCAGAUCAGCAACGCUGCGGUGAAUACGUUCUCGGGCCUUGUACACACCGCCCGUCAAG